UGUAACAUCGUCUCAACACGUGAAGUCCGCAAAGCUAAUUGGAUUGCCAUCGACUUUCGUGCCAUUCUCAGAACGCCAAAUUCACUUGAUGUUUAUACGAAUUGUGAUUAUAUUCGCUUGAUAAAUCUUUUACUGCAUGACAUUCAUGAGAAAACAUUAAUUCCACGGAACUUCUUACCUGAGCGUGCUCCGCCAUUUUGUUCAUCUACCAUGAUGAAUAAGGAGAGAAGCAGCGGGUCGGGAGGGGUGUCCACUUCCCCCCCUCCAGGGCCGUAGAAAGAGGGUUACGACACUCCCAUAGAGAUCCAUUAUACGAUUUUACUUCCGGGUACUUCCGGGUUACGGUGCCUCGUGUAGUUCCAAACAUGGCUUCGACGAGAGCGGACCGCAUUCAUAUGAAUGGCUGGCUGUGAAGUAUAUUCGGAGGUUACUUUUCAUGAUCCACAUCAUGCUGCUGUCGGUCUACGUUCCUACCGUAACCUAUAGUCACAAACCAGGACACGCUGGAGAGACUGUGUCUCGGCUGGCCUGGGAACGCCUUUGGACCUCGCCAGAGGAGCUGGAUGAAGUGGCUGGGGAGAGGGAAGUCUGGGCUUCCCUGUUAAAGCUGCUGCCCCUGCGACUGGACCCCAGAGCAAGUGGAAGAUGAUGGAUGGAUGGACAUCAAGCUGCUGGUGGUGCCUGCUGAUGGUGACUGCUGGCUGUGCGCACUAAGCCCAUUUUUUAAAAUGGCAACAAACAAAACCAAAAAAAGCAUUUUUUUCAUGUUUUGACGACUGACCAUUGCCAUCCAUUUUUUCUGCUGCUCUUGGUCCUAGGGGAAACCAUGCUGCACACAAACCAUCACAGGCCACUGAUCUAUAAAAUGUUAGGUGUAAACAAUAAACCAUGACACCAAUUUUUUAAAAAA